GGGGCCUUCGGGCCCUGAGUAGAGCGGCGCACGGGUGCGUAAGACGCGGGUGACCUAUCCUGGAGGCGGGGAUAACCCUUCGAAAGAGGGGCUAAUACCGGAUGGGCCCACAGGUAGAGAUGCCUGGGGGCAAAGGGUGCUACUCAAUGGUGGCAUCCCCUCGUGGCGGGGCCCGCGGCCUAUCAGCUCGUUGGUGCGGUAAUGGCGCACCAAGGCGAAGACGGGUAGCUGGUCUGAGAGGAUGGCCAGCCACACGGGGACUGAGACACGGCCCCGACUCCUACGGGAGGCAGCAGUGGGGAAUAUUGGGCAAUGGGCGCAAGCCUGACCCAGCGACGCCGCGUGGGUGAUGAAGGCCUUCGGGUCGUAAAGCCCUGUCGGGUGGAAAGAACGAUGGGGGAGUGAAUAGCUCUUUCAUGUGACGGUACCACCGAAGGAAGCACCGGCCAAUUCCGUGCCAGCAGCCGCGGUAAGACGGAAGGUGCAAGCGUUGCUCGGAAUCACUGGGCGUAAAGGGUGCGUAGGCGGCCGCGCAAGUCUGGCGUGAAAGCCCCGGGCUCAGCCCGGGAAGGGCGCUCGAAACGGCGCGGCUGGAGUGCCGGAGGGGAGAGUGGAAUUCCUGGUGUAGCGGUGAAAUGCGUAGAUAUCAGGAGGAAUACCGGUGGCGAAAGCGACUCUCUGGACGGCAACUGACGCUGAGGCACGAAAGCGUGGGGAGCAAACAGGAUUAGAUACCCUGGUAGUCCACGCCGUAAACGAUGGGCACUAGGUGUCGGGGGUAUCCACUCCCUCGGUGCCGCCGCUAACGCAUUAAGUG
rnacentral:rRNA from 1 species